rnacentral:rRNA from 1 species
UACAGAGGGGGCAAGCGUUGUUCGGAAUUACUGGGCGUAAAGGGCGCGUAGGCGGCCCGCUAAGUCGAACGUGAAAUCCCUGGGCUCAACCCAGGAACUGCGUCCGAUACUGGCAGGCUUGAAUCCGGGAGAGGGAUGCGGAAUUCCAGGUGUAGCGGUGAAAUGCGUAGAUAUCUGGAGGAACACCGGCGGCGAAGGCGGCAUCCUGGACCGGCAUUGACGCUGAGGCGCGAAAGCCAGGGGAGCAAACGGG